AAGUCUUUUUACUUCGUUUUUUUAAAGAAUUAAAGUCAAAAGGUACACGAAAAUUUUCAAAUUUUUCAAAAUUUAUGCUUUUUUUAAAAAUUAUUUUCUUUAAGCUAGAUCAUUUGGCUUUGAUUCUUAUUAUAACUUAAUUAUUAUAUGUCGUUUAGAUUUAUUUUCACUGAAAAUUUUACAAAGGAGUCAUUUUCUUCUAUCUUCCUCCACUGUUUUGGUGUUAUAUGAACGUCGCUUUGCCACCACCCUCCGCUCCUUUUAUCGUCAAACGUCACCAUGUCGUCGCUUCGCCACUACUAUCACUCCCUCACUUCUUCAUUCUCCUUUCUUCCCUUCCGUUCCACG
rnacentral:lncRNA from 1 species